rnacentral:rRNA from 1 species
GACGAACGCUGGCGGCGUGCUUAACACAUGCAAGUCGAACGGAAAGGCCCUGCUUUUGUGGGGUGCUCGAGUGGCGAACGGGUGAGUAACACGUGAGUAACCUGCCCUUGACUUUGGGAUAACUUCAGGAAACUGGGGCUAAUACCGGAUAGGAGCUCCUGCUGCAUGGUGGGGGUUGGAAAGUUUCGGCGGUUGGGGAUGGACUCGCGGCUUAUCAGCUUGUUGGUGGGGUAGUGGCUUACCAAGGCUUUGACGGGUAGCCGGCCUGAGAGGGUGACCGGCCACAUUGGGACUGAGAUACGGCCCAGGCUCCUACGGGAGGCAGCAGUGGGGAAUAUUGCACAAUGGGCGGAAGCCUGAUGCAGCAACGCCGCGUGCGGGAUGACGGCCUUCGGGUUGUAAACCGCUUUCGCCCGUGACGAAGCGUGAGUGACGGUAAUGGGUAAAGAAGCACCGGCUAACUACGUG